rnacentral:rRNA from 1 species
UACGUAGGGUGCGAGCGUUGUCCGGAAUUAUUGGGCGUAAAGAGCUCGUAGGCGGUGUGUCACGUCGGCCGUGAAAACCUGGGGCUCAACUCUGGGCGUGCGGUCGAUACGGGCAUCACUAGAGUUCGGCAGGGGAGACUGGAAUUCCUGGUGUAGCGGUGAAAUGCGCAGAUAUCAGGAGGAACACCGGUGGCGAAGGCGGGUCUCUGGGCCGAUGACUGACGUGGAGGAGCGAAAGCUGGGUAGCAAACAGGAUUAGACUACCCCGGUGUCAAUC